CUAAUGAGUGAAUUGUUUACCUGAGUACUGGGAGUGUCUCAGUAGGUGAUAAUCAUCCCUGAAGAGAGGGGGUGUGGGAGCCUUUGGUUUGUAGCCAAUCAAUCAGAAACACGGGUAAUGACCUGUACUGGCAUCUGGGGUUUCAAGCUGGGAGUGUGAGGCCAUCUAUGGAAUUGAUCCCUGUGGGAUCUGAUGCCAUCUCCAGGUAGACAGUGUCAGUAUGGAGUUAAGUUGUCGGACACCCAGUUGUGUCUGCAGAGAACUGGGGAGUUGUUUGUGUGGAAAAGCCCACAUUUCUGGUGUCAGAAGUAGAGUAUCAAGAGUGAUAAGGAAAUGUGUAACUGUAGAAAGAAAAAGGGCCUUUCCCUGUUCAUUUACGACAGGGAGGAAGUGGAAGGUGGCAGGACAGGGGGAAGCCCCUUCCCGGGCCUUCCCUGAAGGCUGCUGUGCCUCCUGUACUCACGGUAGAAACCCGGAGAGAGAUGAGUUUCCACAGACCCUUCCGGUCCUGGUUUCCUCACCUGUGAGAGUGACUGCCUUCUGGGGUUCGUUAGGGUUUAGAACCAGAUGUCCCCAGAGCAUCAGACACUCACAGAUGGGGCUUUUGGGCCACGGUUGGAUCACGAGCACCUAGCUGACUUGUUGUCAGGAGAUGGGUCGGUCCCUGGAAGGUCCGCCUCCCUCCCCAGCUCCUCCUUUGACCCACUGCUUCCUGGCCGCCAUGCUACGAGCAGUGCUCCUCCGCCAGGCCCCUCUGUCAGGCCGCCCUGCCUUCGAGCCAGCAGCUGGGAACGGAAACCGCUACAGACGACAUCAGUUUGGAGCUGAGGGGCCCAGUGACCAUUCCAUCUACUAUAAGGAGUCUGGGAACACAGCUGGCACAAAGGCAGCUUGAGCCUGCGGGCACCUGCAUGACUGUCCCAUGCGUGAUUGUCCCACUUCUACACUUGUGGUACGAGUCGCUGAUGGUGGGACAAUCUUGCCGAUACCAUGGGGGUUCGAGCUGGCGAGAACGUGUGGCCCCUUUCCUCCCGCUGGCUCUCCCAUGAGCCGCCUCCGUGAACACACCAAGGUCUGCAGAGCGCUGAGUCAGAUGCCUUGGCAGGCCCAGGUUGGAAAAUUAGAUAUUUAUCGCCAACUGGGAAAACAAUUCUUCUGCAAUCCCCUCAGGCACUGGGUGAUUAUGUAGAUGCUGGCUCACAAGACACAGAUGACACUUCGGUCUUGGGGAUCUUUGAUUCCCGAAACCACUCUCUCUGAUGGGGAGGGAGUGCAUGCCUCACUCGGAGCAGCUGGAGAACCGGCUCUCUGAAAUGGCCAGAACUCGGCAAUUCCAGGGCAGGCUCAGGCUCAAGCUCAUGCUGAAAGGCUGGUGUGGAGGACCUGAGGCUCCUGCUGGUUCUGUGGGUGGAUCUGUGGGGUUUUCAUAUGGUUCCCGCAUGGCUUCACAGGCCACUUCUUCACCGGACAGAGACUGCACCUGGAACUGUCCUCAAAUACUUGCGUGUUAGUGGGUGAUAAUGACUGUGUGGCCCACAGUCAACCUUCAGACUGGUGAUGUAGAUGUGACAUUAUCAUCUGUUUCUGUGACCUGGCAAGAGCGUGGGAGGUGACAUUCCUGGGAGUCAUCUGAAGAAUUAAGGGGGUCUCAUCUCUGCCCCAAAUGCUAGGGGCUGGGCUGGAAAGAUGACCACUCAGCUGGAUGUCUGGGUCUGUGGAUCUUACACCAAUCAGUUAUGAGCUUUGGAGAUGGAGAAUCCUUUCUCUUGUGUCUCGGAUGUGGUACAGAGAGAGGCUGAGACCCUAAGCCACUCCUGUUCCUUGCUGGAGUGUGUUUAACACCUUGGCAAAGACAGCCGUUUACACUGUGCCCGGCAUGGAGCCAGCCUCCAGUAAAUAUCAGACCAUGUUUUUUCACAUUACACGUUUUGUGGGCUCAGGCCCCAGCGGGAGAAACUGGAGCACUGGAUUUGGAAGCCUCGAUGUGAAUGUGGACUUGGGCACUCUGAACAGGUCCCUGAGCCAUCUUGGACUGUGGACGCUCGCUCUGUGUAGGGCUGUAGUGCCAGUGCCAAGGGAGGAUGCUUCCCCGAAGGCAAGCGCUUCGUUUAGGGAAGAAACGGGAGGGGGCUGUGCCGUACUGAGCAUGAGGAGCCCCAGUAUCCUGUCUAACGUCGUGCAGCUUUUCUGACACCAACUCUCAAACUGGUGAGCAGAGGGUUUUAAGCGCGCAGACGCAGAUGCAGAUGCAGAGCCUUGAUUCUGUCCUCUGAGAAGUCCAGCAAGGCCCCUCUGCCGAUCGAUUUGCUUCCACUGGGGAUGGUGGGGAGGAAGAUGGGAUGCCACCUACUUUCUGUGGGCUGGGCUGGGCCUCAUUAGUUGGGGAUAUUUGUGUACAGGGCUGUCCUGUGUCUUCUCGGGUCAGGAAUCAUUUUCUUUCCUUGGUUUUAGAGGUGUUGCUGGAGAAAGAAGAGGAGGCUGGUGAGAAAGGAGAGUGGAUGGGGUUGGGAGGGCUGAAGGAUGCAGGAGACACCCAGACUAAAACGCAUUUGGCGGUCAGCAGGACUUCGGAUAGAGGAAUGAUAAGGGAGAUUGUUUACUGAAUCGAGCCCCUUCGGCGUUCCUUUAAGAAUAUGCUCCUUGUUAUAAUCCAAUUUUAUUUUUUAAAGUCCAUUUUACCAUUUUUCUAUCCCAUAGAAGCAAAUCCCUCCUCGAUGGUAUGUAAUUUUGGGGAAUUUGGAACACAAGCACAUCUCUCAAAGGUUGUGUCUCAAUGUUUUAUGCUGGUCUGGUGCCACCCACUCCUGGAGCUUGUGGUGAGAUGGAAACAAGGUUUUAUUGUGGGCUGGGAGGCCCGCAGUCUUUCCUAAGUUUGCUUUUAUUUUGCUCUACAUCCUUGGGCAGCUACUUUCCUUCUCUGGUCCUCAGUUUCCCCCUUUUUAAAUCUAAAAGCAUGACAAAGCGGAUGUGGUUCAAAUUUAUAAAAGAAUUAUUUCUAUGGAAUACAAAUGGAUUCUUUCGUGGAGGUGAACAUGCUUUUGUGGAAUCCAGUGCAUAGACGGUAAAAGCUGCCCGGGUCUGUGUCAGCGUCCCCGGGGUGACCCUAACAACUCCAUGUUUCUAUGGAUCUCAACUUGGAAACUGCAGAAGAGGAUCUUCAGCCUUGUGCUGAGCGUUGUCAUUGCACAGACAAGUGUCGCAUAGUAGAUACGAAGCCCUGGUGGAGGAGAUCUGGACAGGUUCGGGACUGGGCUGGGGCCUUCCUGGAGCUAAGUGGAGGCAGGAGUGGAAACUGUCUUAGGGAGGAUGGCCAGGCGGCUUCCUGUGACACACUAGAGGAAGCUGCCCAGGGACCUCGUGGAGGAGAUUAGAGCCUCGCGCUCUGGCCGGCAUCAGGCUGGAGGUGACCGGAAAUGGCAGGCAGGCUGGGAUCGGGGUAUGGCUGCCUUUACCUCGCCAGGGACAUUUCAGAGAAACGCCUCGGGGAGUCCUACUUACUGCUUCUCCUCUGAAUGCAUAGAUGUACGUGCUUGUGCCUUUUGGAACAAAUCAAACCACCUUUGGGGUGAGUGGAGAAUAUUUCUAUGUCCCUUUCUGCCAGGACAAAUGUCACCUGGCUUUGGGAGUCCAGUCUACUGAGGGCCCUCCGGACAGUGGCCGCUCCUACACUGGUGGCCUCACCUUUACCUUGGCCAAUUUCAGCCCAGUAACUGGAGAUUAUGUUACGUGGCAUGGUGGAAGAGACUUUGCAGAUGGGAUUAGGUUAAGGGCCUUGAGAUAAUGAGGAGGGAUUAUACCGAAUGCUCUGAUAUAUCCUAGGUGGCUGGAUGCACUCCCUGGGCCUCUAAAGGAAAGAAGCAGGGAGGGAGGAGGCGUGGCGGUAGAAGCAGAGACUGGAGUGAUGCAUUUUUGGUGCAUUGAGGAAACAAACACAGGAGGUCACCAAUCAGGUGACUCAGCCACGGACCCACAUGCUGAAGCAGAAGCCUGGGUCCAUUCUAAGGAGGUGGCCAAGGCCACAGUGGAGGAGCACAGGUGACCACCAGAAGCUGGAGAAGCCAAGGAAACGAAUUUGUCUCCUUUCCUUCCUUUCCCUCUCAAGGAGAGAGACUGUGCCUGCAGACAUCUGCCUCUGGUCAGCCCUGUUCCCGAGAAGCCUGGGGAGGAGAGGCAUUCAUGGCGCUCAGUACUUUCCGAAGCAAACUGGGAUUCUGCUGGUGGGGAGAGAGGUGAAGAAUGGUGCGAAUGCACUUGCAUCUGCCAAGCGCUCAGGAGACGUUUGCCAGAGGCCUCGAGGGACACUGGAGGCGGGGAAACUGGAUCAGGGCACAGAGCUGAACCUGGGUCCCUGUGCGGUCUGACUCGGGCAGCUUGGUGGUGGAGCAGGACGUGGAACACGGGGUGGUUUGGGGUCUUCUGGGUCCAGGAGCCUGUGGUCCAGUCGCUCCUCCUGCAGCUUCUCCGGCUGCUCUGCUGGGAAGCAGUGAUGUGCCAGACCCCCCGUGGCAGAUCUGCUCUUUCCCCUCCUCACCCCUUUCUCUCUGGGCCAACGUUCCCAGGGUCAAACCUGCAGCCUCCAGCCUGGGGCCUCUGCUCCUGGAUCUGUGGCAAAGGCCUUGCUGUACAUGGUCAGUUUGUUCUUCGUAGGGCAGAAGGAAAAGCUUCCGUGUGUGGUGCUCUGUGUUCCAAGCCACAGCCCGGGCUUCUCUGCUUCAGAUGCUGGGUCCCUCUGCAUGGGUGACCACGUGGGGACCCGAGGGCCGGGGAGUCGUGGGGUCCACGUUAGGAAGGGCCUGGGUUUCCACAUCUCCAUGCAGAACGGUGACAUGGGUGACAGCAGUAACCUCCCUGUGUCCCUCUUGGGGAGCUGGGCUGUCUGCUCCAGCAUGUGCCAUCCUUGACACUGAACCAGCACAGUCUGCUUGCCUUCCUCCCACAGGAAGUCCUGUGUCGAGGUUUACAGAAGCCUUCGGAAUAAGGCUAAGUUCACAACUUCCGCUAAUUGGCUGUGUGACUUGGGGUACGUUACUUCGCUUCUCUGUACCCUGAAAACAUAAUAAUGUCAGAUAAUGAACCAAACCAACUGCAUUCUGCAUACUGUUGUGGGGGUCGAAGGGAAGACCUAUGUACUGCGCUUGGGUAGUUGUGUCUGGUCCAUAGUAAACAUGGUGUAAGAAUGGCCUGUUACUGUUCCCAUCCACCUCACCCUUCAGCCACUCCAGUACCCCAGCAUGGGGCCAGCCAGAGCCAAGGUGUUGAUUUGAUUCCUCUUGGCUCUUUCUCCUCUUGGCAUUUUCUCAGGGACGAUGGUGACUGCACCCACACCAGCAUUUUGCAAUAGAGCACUGUAGUCUGCUUGUACUUCUACAGAGCUUUGUUUCACUUUCUGCUGUUUCUCUAUUUGGAGUGGAAGCCUUUUGAAAGCAGAGACCGACAGAUAACUAUUGAUUCCUAACUAAGCAGUGUCGGGUUGAGAGUGAGGAGCGAUGAGACUUGUACUGUAGGAGGUAGAAAUGUUUGGACCCCAAGAUGGCACCAUGCCUGCCCAUCUCCAGACCACAGGGGACCUGAGCAAGAGCAGUAAAGAACACAAGGCCUGGGAUUUAGCUCAGUGGUUUCGUCACCUGCUGCGCAAGCUCCAGGACCCGAGUUCGAUCCCAGGUACCAAAAAAAUAAAAGAACACAAAACACAGCCACGGCCCCGCAUCCUAGCAUGGAACAGCAUCUGACUGACUGUUCGGAAGUUUUGGUUGCUGCCAUGUGCGUAUCUUAGAUGCUGAUGUGAUUAUCCUAGCUAGUAUUUAUGAAGCACUAUGCUGCAAUUUCUUCUUCAAUGCUCACACCACUUGUGGGUGCCAUUAUUUUUCUCACUUUGCAGCAUCGAAGAGGCUGAGUGACAUACUUCAUGUCACACAAUUAAGAAGCCUACGAUCCGACUUCACGCAGGGAUCUGGGGACAGGGGCACAGGGGAGUCCUCGACAGGUGUUUGUGCAGAGGCAAAUGGCGGGGAGGCUUUGAAGAAAACUGCACAAGAUUUGCAGAGACCUUUGAGGGUCUGGUGUGGCCUCCAGAUGGCAUCUGCCAUCACAGGGCCUGGGGCACAAUCUCUGCAAGGCUCAGAAAGAACAUCUGCACUUCAAUAACAAAAUCCUUGGAAAAAAUCAUGUUGCAAAAGGAAAUCUUGACAUGGUUCCACCGUGGCGUGGUCGGGGGAGACAGGGGAGCCUGAAGUCCUCCGGUAAACUGCUUAGAGUCUGCAGGGCUGCUUCCCUUCCUUCUUGAUGUGUGUGAAAGACAGAGCAAGUAAUCCCUUUUCUCAAACUUCUGCUCACCCCGAGAACUUGACUCUGAGAGAAGAGGAAGAAUUGGGUGAGGUGCAGUCGGACUGCACACUCAGGAUGAGGGUCUCUGCUUAGCACCCGGUGGGCUCUGUGGUCCAUGUGGAACAGUCUUGUGCAAGGGAUUGUGCUGUGGUGUUCAGUUCCCUACACAUGUGAUCAAACAUUCCUUCAACAUCCAUCAGAGUCAAGAGCCGAAAUGGUCUCACUUCAGUUGGAUAUAAAAAUCUCUAUGUAAUGGAAUACUACUCAGCUAUAAGGAAGGAUAAACUUGAGACUUUCUUAGGAAAAUCGAUAUCCCUUGAAAAUACAAUGUUGAGUGAAAUAAAUCAGACACACAAGCUUAAAUACCAUACGAUAGCUCUCAUGUGAGUAAGGCAAAGCACAAAUAAACAGCAAAAUAAAAGAUGAGUAGAAGAAAACAAGAGGAUCAAAUGGGAAAGGGUCCAGGAGACCAACAGCAAAGGGAGAGGAGAGAAGCAGGGGAAGAAAGAUUUAAGAUAUGUGUGUACAGGUACCAAAUACCCACCAUGAACAUUACAAACAUUAUGUGUCAUAAACAUGAGCUGAGAAUAACAGUAACAAAAAUGAAAACAGGAAGAAGAGAUUUAGACUUUAAACUACAAAUCAAGGGAAGGAGGAGGUGGGGAAGGGAAGAGGUUAAAAAAAGAAACAAGUUUGUGAUGCAUAUGUACCCACUCCCUAAGUUGAAUGCAAACCUCACACUGCAAAGAGGUACUAAUAAAGUAAAAAUUAAAAUAAAAGCUCUGUUUAUCUCAGGUUUGACCAAGAAUUAAGUAUCUGUGCUGGAAAAUAAAGGAGAGAGGAAGGGAGGGAAAAAACAUAGAAUCACCUAUAAAAGAUAAGUUUUACUUUAUAUUUCAUAAAUAACAUUUUAAAUGCACACACACAGGCCUAUAAGAAAUCAAGAAACCAACACACUUCUAUUAUUUUUGAUACUGUAAGUGUAUAGUUUAGCCUGAUUAUGUCAGUGAGAAACUUAUUUUCUAAAGUCUUGUAUAACUCGCUAUAGGGUACAUUUUAAUUUUUCUUGCUUUGGUUGAUGAUUUCAACAUCAACAUUUCAAGUAUUCAACAGCAUCAGUACAUUUUUAUGCUUUAAGUAGCACCCAAAAGUAUAAUUUACAACUUUUAUUUAAAUUAAAUAUAGCAAGCCUACCUUUAGAAAAAUUAAAUUUCAUUUUGUCUUGAGGCCGAUGCUUAACAGAAAUGUAUUGUGAUUUCCUUAUGAGUUUUAAAAAUCAAUGGAAAGGAAAAAUUAAUGCCAACAUGUAAGUGUAAUUCAAUAAAGUAUGACUAGAAAUAGGAUUUUUAGUUUUAAAUGAGGAAAAUUAAAUCCCUACUCUUGUAUAUGUCAUAUAGCACACACUAUUAAUAUCUUGUGUAGUAGAAAUUUAAGAAUUUUAGUAUUGCUUAAAUAAAUUAAAAAUUUAAAUGGAAAGUUAAAAAAGAGGAGAGAUUAAAAUUUCUAAAUAACUAUACUCCUGACCUGCAUUAGAAUUGAUAUUCUUUAUGGAAAGGGAGGAAUCUCAGGAGAGGAUUAAUAGUGUUAGGGUUUGUGUCCAGAUGUCCCCCCAGAGUCUCAUGUGGUCAUAGGUGGGGCUUUUUCAGAGGUGGCUGGAUCUAGAGUGUGUGAUGCUGGAACUGAUUCAUGGUGCAAUGGUAGCAUCAAGGGCACUAGGAAUAAGGGUGUGAGUGUUACCUGCCCUAAAUAGCCUGGAUAAAAUAUAAGGGAUAGAAAGAGCUGUAGUUGUCCUUGUUGCUUUGGUGCCUUCUGCCUACCAUGAACUGUUUCUCUUCUGCAAUGCCCCUCUGCCAUACCGCCCUGCCUUGGAGCCAGCUGGUUAUGGACUGAAACCUCUAAACACUGUGAGCUAAAUAAACCUUUCCCCCUUUAACUUUGGGUGUUGGAUAUUUUGUCUCAGCAAUGAGAGAAAAAUAACUAAGACAAAUAGGUAGGUCAAACAGAAAAUGGAAUAGAAUCAACAGCAACAAAACAGAGUCACAGAAAAUAUUCUACCUCCAAAUAGCAAUGACAACAAAUUAUUAUUGGACUCUGAGAUCUACAAGUUACUAAUUAUGCAAAUAUACCAGGAAUUGCAGACAUAAUACUUUUUAGGUUCUUUGAGGCCUGAAAAUUAUUUCAAGGGUUAGGAAGGUAGUCUAGAAGCUCUCUGGUUCAGUUUUACAAGAGCUGGUGCUCACUGCUUCCACUCACAGGACAGAGGGUAGGUAGUGACUCCAGUAUCCAGAGCUCCUUUUCCAUGGAUGCCCUGCCAGCCCCAUUUCCGGUCUAGGCUCACUUUCUGACUCCUCCACUUUCUAUUUCCUGGGAACCUUCAGGGCUCUAGGCAUGAACUGGCUUGCCUCUCAUUGGCUCCUGUCUCUGCCAAUACACCCUUGAGUGCUCUUCAUUGGUUGCUUUCUCUGUCAAUACCCUUGGCUGCUGCUUAUUGACUACUGACUCUAUCAUUGGCUAAUUUCCCAUAGCUGGGAUGGGUGGGAUCCCUGCAGAAAAUCACCAAAAUGGAUGAUGUUGCAUUUCUCAGUUGCCUCUCACUCGCUCUGAGCCAGGGCUGGCCAUCGUGCUCUCCUCUUCUCUGUCCCUCUUUUCUUAGACUUCACCCUCUCCCAGCUUCCUGGGUCCAUUCCAGCCCCUCAUCCCCACCCCUUCCCCCAACUCACCAGUGCCCUAGUAUUUAUUUAUGGAGUGGCUUAUCUUACUUGAGGAUGAUCCAGGUCCCCUCCCUCUCAGAAGCCUUAUUCAUCACUUCUGCUACAAGUCCUGGGUGGAUUAUACUGUACUAAUAGAUGGCGACUCACACGGACCACACAGUCAUACAGCCCCAGAGCACUUGGGAAUGGAGGUAGGAAUGCCCUGACUCCAGCUGGUGUGGGCCCCUGGUCACCAAUUGCAACAGUUGCCUUCAGGUGACUGUGCUGGUGAUGGCAGGUGAUCUGUUAUUUGCAGUCCCAGCAUACAGAUUGCUUAUGUAAGUUCCCACAUUGGAUGCCAAGUGGAUAUUUCCUGUUUUGCAGAUGAAGAAAUGGAAGCUCAGAAGGGUCAGGUGACUCCUCAGGUCAUAGGUGGUGGAGCAGAGACUGGAAGGGAAGUGUCCAAGGCCAUGCUUUUCCUACUGCCCAUUGCCUGUACUUGGUUUCAAGCAAGAAGAUUUUUUGUCUUCCUAUCCAUUAUAUUUCUAUUUAGAGUUUCUGAACAACUAUUUCUACUUAGAGUUUUCAGAUAUCAUCCUGGGGGUGUCCUAGGAUGUCCAUCCAGUGGCUGGAUCCCUUUACAGACGCAGCCUUAGGGGUGGCUUGGCCACAGCUUUGUGUCUCUCUGCCAAACUCUUCUUGUUAUGCCAGUCCGUGAGGGCUGCCGGCGUGUGUACCAGGCAGGGGCCUCAUUAGCAGCUUUAACUGAUCAGUACAUCCAGUGCCUUCCCUUUGCUGCUCCUGAGACUUCCAGACACGCUGCUGCCUGGUUCUCCGGGAUGCUGGCCAGUGCUGCCCACCACUGUGGAUUCCAGCUCGGCUCCCCUGCGCUGCAUGUGCCCAGAUCACAUGGGCGUGAUUUCUGGCUGGGAGGUCUGUGUUCCUCAGAAGACACAGGUAUCCCUUUUAUCUUAUUUUAUUUUAAUUUAUCUUUAAAUCUCCAAGCCAUGCAAUUCUCGAGUGUUUGUCUCAGUGUGUUCUGUUGUGGAAGGGAAAGGACAGAUGCUACCUGAGCAGAAUUCUCAAGGAAUCACUGUACCAGCCGUUUCACAUACAUUAUCUCUUUUUUUUUUUUGGUACUGGGGAUCGAACUCGGGUCCUUGCGCUUGUGCAGCAGGCGGCGAAACCACUGAGCUAAAUCCCCGGCCCACAUACAUUAUCUCUUAAUCACCACAGCAAUCCCAGAGAGAACGAUCCAACAGAAAGCCAUCUAUGCUUCAACAAUAAAUAUCAUUAGAAGCAGAGUAUGUUCCUGAGUAUGUUCCACUGGGGUUAGGUUGCCAAAUGAAAAUGAAGAAGAGACAGUUUCUAUUCUCAUGGAACAUGUAGUUCAAGGAAAUCACAAACAUUAUCAAAUAAUUCUGAGCACCAGGACUAAUAAUUCCAGCUCUAAGGACACGAUCGGUGUCACCACUGCAGCAAGCAUGGGGUGUUACCCUGACCGCCAUGCUCAGGUACUCUGCCAAUGCCACCACUUGGAUUCCUCAGCUCUUCCCCCGAACGUCCUUCAUAACAAUAACAAAAGCCUAUUUCUCUUGAGGCAGCUGAGGUUUAGAGAAUUAAGUAACUAAGUUCCCCUUAGCAGAGAACCAAAGAAGAGAUUCUGUGUCAUACUGCAGGCUCAUAGUGGCUAUGGGCAGGGAGGGAGCAGAUUUCAUGGGUUCAGAGUUCAACUCUGCAGCUCACUGCUUGGUUCAUCCAGAAACAACUUCCUUGUGCCUCAGCUUGCUCCAUCUGUAGAUGGAGAUCACAGUAGUACCUGUCAGGGUUGUUAUUCCCAGGUUGCAGAUGAGAAACACAGCAGAGAGACGAGGUCUCAGGUCGUGGUCAGUGGGAAAGCUGGGGCUCAGGUCAAGUCUGGCCUUGGUAUUCAGCUUUCUAGAAGCUGGGUUAUUUUCCAGGCCAUCUGUACACUGAGGCUGUUCCUUGCUCCUUGGACAAUGGUGUCUGCUAUGGUUCAGCUGUAUUUGCCCUGUUAAAGCUCAGGUUGAAGUGUGGUUAUCAAAAAGGUGGUGGUGGAAGGUGGAGCCUGAAUGGGGACUCGUGUCUUUCUUCGGAGGCUGGAUUGGUCCUCAGAGGAAGGGAUUAGUUCCUGAACAGUGCUUUGUUACAAAGCGUAUGGAGCUGUUUGUCUCCUUCUCUCGCCUUUGUGCACCUGCCGUGUGACGCUGUCCACCACAUUAUGACGCAGAGCGUGAGGCCCUUGCCUGACCUUCAGCUUCCUUGAUUCCAGAACCACCAGAUAAAUAAACUUCUUCCUUUUGUAAGUUACCCAGUGUCUGGUGUUCUGUUACAGCAACAGAACACGAACUAAGAAUGCCAAGCAGAGUAAAAUGUCUCCUGAGAGAUGUCACUGGCCUCUACCAUUUACUAUCUUGCUCUAGACACACUUGUAGAGCAUAUUCUAGAACACUAUUCAUGGGAUUAGUCCAUAAAGAGGAACGUGCUUACAUAUAGGCCAGGUGUGUAAAUAUGUUUGGUUAUUGCUUGUGGUGCUGAGGUUCAACCCAGCCCCUCAUGCAUGCCAAGCACAUGCUCAAGCCACUGCACUCAGCCCCUGUCCCCUGCAGAGGGUAAGUACAGACCAGCCAGUAGUGGUCAGGGAAAAACUGAAGCUCCACAGCCCUUCCCAGCAGAGAGGGGCCUGAGCCCACCUGCAGGUGUGCCUGGGUGUGCAUUGGUUUGGGGUGGGUCAUUUCUUUUGGGGAAGGGGCUUCCCUUUAAGAUGAAAGAGAUCUCUUUCCAGCAGAGAUGAAAAAGAGGAAGGCAGCUCUAUGCAAAUGGUCCAGGGUGAGAAAUGUCAGACUCUGUCGCGGGGUCUGUCUUGUGCAAUGGUGUUUGCAAAUCUCAAGGCCAGACGUUUGUCCCCGUGAGGAUGUCUGCAUUCAGUGACCCUUGUGUUUCUUCUGGGGCAGGUACACGCACACGUGCACACAGGCGCACACACGGUGCUGUGCUGGGCUCCUUGCCAGCAUAUUUCUGCCUCUGCUCCAGGGCCAGCUGAUCACCCCCGUUAACAUCUUCCUGCAGACAGGACAGGCAGCCUCACAGCCGGUCCUUACCUGGGGCAGGUGGCUCCAGAACAGCUCCUCCCCUCUCCACCCUCAGCCACAACCCUACUAGGAUCAAACAUGUUUUCCUCUUACUCAGACGUGCACCUUCUUCCUUGGCCUCUUGCUUUCUCCGGUACAGAUUUAUGAGGAGGAUGCGUGGAAAAGCCCCGCUCCUCAGCUGCUCCUGGCACAAGACAUCUGAUGGUUUGCAUUCCAGCCUGCUCCCCACGCUGUACACCACAGGGUUGUGCACACAUCGACACAUGGACAUCCACCGUUUGUCUCUUUGAACCAAGCCACCACUAAAAGUCUCUCCACACUGACCAUUUCCUUUCACCGCUCAGUAUCGUUCUGCGAUUUUACUUGGGCUUCUUCAAUGAAACUCCACAUUCCCCUGUCUCCUUGCCUUCCCAUCUUCCCCACCAAAUCCAUUCCCACAGUGCUCUCCCUCAAAUACAAAUCUGAUCUUUUAAGUCCCUUUCCAGCUAUUAACGCCCCCCUGCUAUCUCUGCGACUGAGAAUCGGGUCUGGCUCAUGGUGGAUAUUUAGUAGAAAUUUCUGGAAUUAAAUAGCC
rnacentral:lncRNA from 1 species